CUGCCUCUGCAAAGUUCAGUCAUGUCUCUGCAUCACCACAAAGCUGAUCUGUUUAGAUAAGUGAGCAGGUGUUGGUACAGUAAAGAUAUUUUACUACGUUCAGUAUUGUUUUCAUGAAAUAAAAUAAAAUUAUGCCAAUCAAUUAUUUGCUACUACAAGCUGGAUUUGCACCUUUUGGAUGAUAUUUCUCAUAUUCUUUAAAUAUUUUCAAAAUCAGUAAAUAAUUUUCAAUGGCCAUGAAGGAACAUGUGCAUCAAGGGACACGUGAGCAGUUUUAAGGAGGCGGGAAUGAAGGGGUGUGGUGUAAAGAAGAGAGAGGCUAUAACUCAACAUGUAUACGUUUGUUAGACAAGAGCGACAUGUAAAUGUUUCACCGCAGAGAUGUUAGUUUUGUAAUUUUGCUGUGAAAGCAGUUUAUUGUGUGAUUUCACAUAUCUACAUUUAGGUUUACUUUCUAGAAUGCCUCCAACUCUGUACACAUUUGGAUUUAUACUCGUGGUCCUUACAAGAAAAGUGGAGAGUGUUACCUUUGAACAGUCGUCUGCUCAAGUUGUGAACACAGGGACUGAGGAGCUCAGGAUUAACUGCAGGCAUGAUGGCAGCAACUUACAAGUAAUGCUGUGGUACCAGCACAAGCAGAGUGAUCAGGCGAUGAGCCUCAUUGGGUUCACAGUGCUUAUGGGUGAACCAAACUAUGAGAGCCAGUUCACAGACCGGUUUCAGAUAAAAAGAGACGACACAGUGAAAGGCUCUCUGAUCAUCAAAAACCUUAAUCUGUCAGACUCAGCUGUGUAUUUCUGUGCUGCCAGCACACAGUAACGUGUUUCAUGUCCCCGCUAUACUAAAAACCUCUGAUGGAAAACUAAUGACAACGACACACUGUUUUUUCUUUUUGGAAGUUGAAACUUCCAGAAAUGGGUUCAGGCUUCAGCAUGAGCAGCUACACCAUGUUCUGGUACAGACAGAACCACCAUGGAGCUCCAAUCGAGUUCCUUAUGAGGGAAUAUGAAAAACCUGUGGGACGCUUAGAGUCAUUUAUCGAUACAUCCAAAAACAACUUCCCUGUACAAAUAACUGAGCUGUAUAUCAAUGACAGCAGCACCUACUACUGUGCUGCCAGUCACAGUGAUACACACAGACCAGACACUCAUACACAUAACCAGCGAGUAUGACAAACAAACCAGGCUUGUUUGGUUGUGAAUGUCCUGGUGGAAAUAUAAGACAGAACAUCUUCAGAUCUAUGUAGAAUUAGGCAGAUAUGCUAGCACAAUUACAUUAAUUUAAUUUUAACAUCGGAAUAAUGAUAAUAACUAAUAUCAAAUUUGUCUUGCAAAAGUAAUAAGCAUACAGAAGCAGAUUAAAGUCAUGUGCUUCUGGUGUACACCAAAAGAGAUUAAACCACGCAGUAUUUUUGGAGGUAAUAACUUUGUUUAUAAAUCCAAGUUUUGCAUCACCAUCUGCCCUCACUCUGUAUGGAGGUGCAUAAUUCAUUUAAUACGGGACAAAGACAUUGGGUUUGAAGGUUUUACUGGGUAUAAAAUUAUGAAAAGAGCAUGCAAUAAACUGACUGAUCAUAAAUAAAAGUAUCAAAAACAGGACUAAAAAAGGAAGGGUGGCUAGCAGAAAUCAACAUUAGUUCAUGUACCAGUAAAGUGAUAUAAACUGCCCCCUUGAGUCCUGCAAGCAGCACUGUCACAGUACACUGGAGAGAGGAAAUUAAGCUGCAGUUAGUUUGGUGGCCACUGGGAGAGUGUUGCUGUAAAAAGGAAGCUGUGGAAAACUGUGGGUUGAUGACAUCGUGUUUCAGAAGCUUUGACUGCAGCAGUUCAAUAAGUUGCAUCAGUGCUGUGCCUGUUGUAAAUAUAAAUGCAGAAAAUCAAAUCAUUUUUAUGUUUUGUUAUAAACAUGAAUCUCCUCUUGCUUGUGCUUUUUAUAUUCACUGAUUUCUCCCACGGUGUUAAAAUUGACCAGCCUCAAUUUAUUUCAAGCCGUGAAGGAUCUGCAUUUGUGACUCUGAAAUGUGAACAAGAUGACAGACAAUAUUACUACAUGUACUGGUACAAACAAAGCAGCAGUGGGAAACUGGAGUUAUUGACAUAUUCUACUGGUCAAGAUAACUCGUUCAUUGAAGCUCCUUUUGAAAAAAUGAAGUACACCAUGUCUCGGCGUUCCGUGCUUAACUCCACUCUGCAGAUACACCCCGUUAAGGCUGAAGACACGGCUCUGUACUACUGUGCUUCUAGUAGAACACAGUGGUUCAGGAAGCCUCAGCAGCUAAACAACAACCUCAGUGGGGAAAAAAAUCACUACAUGAUGGGGAGGAUGGAUAAAUGGAAAGGCUUAUAUCUGUAACUCUGAUAGCCUCUUAAAAUAAAUUUCAGAGAGAUACCAAUGUGACAUUAUAGGACAAAAGAAAUCUUAUAAACAAUAAUAAAGAACAUUUACUGACACAUAUAAAGUACAAGAACUGCCUGUGCAAAGUUCAGUCAUGUCUCUGCAUCACCACAAAGCUGAUCUGUUCAGAUAAGUGAGCAGGUGUUGGUACAGUAAAGAUAUUUUACUACAUUCAGUAUUGUUUUCAUGAAAUAAAAUAAAAUUAUGCCAUUCAAUUAUUUCCUACUACAAGCUGGAUUUGCACCUUUUGGAUGAUAUUUCUCAUAUUCUUUAAAUAUUUUCAAAAUCAGUAAAUAAUUUUCAGUGACCAUGAAGGAACAUGUGCAUCAAGGGACACGUGAGCAGUUUUAAGGAGGCAGGAAUGAAGGGGUGUGGUGUAAAGAAGAGAGAGGAUAUAACUCAACAUGUAUACGUUUGUUAGACACGAGCGACAUGUAAAUGUUUCACCGCAGAGAUGUUAGUUUUGUAAUUUUGCUGUGAAACCAGUUUAUUGUGUGAUUUCACAUAUCUACAUUUAGGUUUACUUUCUAGAAUGCCUCCAGCUCUGUACACAUUUGGAUUUGUACUCAUGGUCCUUACAAGAAAAGUGGAGAGUGUUACCUUUGAACAGUCAUCUGCUCAAGUUGUAAACACAGGGACUAAGGAGCUCAGGAUUAACUGCAGUCAUGAUGACAGCAACUUACAAGUAAUGCUGUGGUACCAGCACAAGCAGAGUGAUCAGGCGAUGAGCCUCAUUGGGUUCACAGUGCUUAUGGGUGAACCAAACUAUGAGAGCCAGUUCACAGACCGGUUUCAGAUAAAAAGAGACGACACAGUGAAAGGCUCUCUGAUCAUCAAAAACCUUAAUCUGUCAGACUCAGCUGUGUAUUUCUGUGCUGCCAGCACACAGUGACGUGUUUCAUGUCCCCGCUAUACUAAAAACCUCUGAUGGAAAACUAAUGACAACGACACACUGUUUUUUCUUUUUGGAAGUUGAGACUGUUCAUCUUUUUAUCAGGACAAAAUUGGGGUAUAACAAAUCUAUGUAUUCUUUAUGAAGUGUACUGUAACUAUAUAUAUGUAACAAAUUUCCCUGUUUAACUACAUUUAAGUUAAUUUCAGCUUUAGUCUUUUUGUA